rnacentral:sRNA from 1 species
UUGGCUUUGGGCCUUUCCUGCGCAGCUUAGGUGGAAGGCGAAGAAGGCCUCCUUCCGGGGGGGUCCGAGCCAUCAGUGAGAUACCACUCUGGAAGAGCUAGAAUUCUAACCUAGGGUUUUAUUGGAUAACGGGGAGUG